rnacentral:misc_RNA from 1 species
AUAACGUGUCUCAAUUCUCAAGUAUCAUGUGUUACAGAAUGCAAAGAGAAGUUAUUGAAUGAUCAAUGCUCCCAAAUGAGGAAACUGAAGUAGGCAAGUUAAAAUUAGAAAAAUUACAUAAGAAAGCAGUUUGAUCUGCAUUAAGGCAACUUCAUAUGGUCACAGCUUGAAGGAAAUUGCAGAAAGAGUGUUAAAUAGAGCCAGACUUGUAACAAUUAACAAAUAGUAGAAGGCAGAGGUAGUACAUCUAAAAGAGCACUCACUGAAGGGAUCUACUAGGACUUCUAAAAUCUAAUAUGGAGGAGAUUUUUAUAAUCUGAAACGAGGAAGUGUAUAAGUUAAAGAAGUUAUGUGGUAAGGGAAGCCUAAAUGCCUCAAAUCCAUGCAUAGUACUCGGUGAAAUUUCAUGUAAAACAUAUCCAGCAAUUUGGGUGCUUGCUAAAAUCAUGAAACCUAAAUUUUUGACUACUUGAUUAAAACUUUUACAAAUGCUGUACCUUUCACACAUGCAAAUCAUGGAACCAAGGAUCCAUAAAGAAGUCCAAGAGGUUAUCCAUGUAAGUUUCCACAAUUUUAAUUUAAAUAGUAACACCUUACCUUCUCAAAACCUUGUGGUCCA